GUCUGUGGGUCUGUUCUGGACCACAGGCCUCCUACUCCGCCCCAAGUCAGCCCCUCUUCCCCAGGGUCCUGCGGGUGGCCCCAGCACUGUGGACUUUUAGUUAGUAGGAAGAUGAACGCGCCUGUCAUCUCAAUGGAAUUUCACAAGCAAAGAGAAUAGCCAUGGCGGUCCUUGGCCUCCUGGGGACCCAGGGCUGCGUGGCCCCAGGGCUGGCAGCGGGCAGGGAGGAUGACUUUGCAGCCUGGGGACUGUUCGUCAUUAGAACAACAAGGCCGGCAGCAGCGUGGCUCUGCCUUAUCGAGCAGGAGGCGGGCUGGACUGUAUUAAUUGCCCGAUGCUGUUGGGUUUGGCAGUACAGGAAGCAGUUUACAUGGCUACACAGCGCCCUGGCUCGCAGUCGCUGCGACAUGGUAUUAUUGUAGUGGGAUAAUUGUGAUUAGGGACAGUUCCCCGAGGAAGGACAGGCCUUUGAUGAUUGAGUCACUUCCUCCCCACUCCACUUCAGCGCGAUAGCGGGGCUCGACCCACAGACGCACGCACCCUUUGCUGGCCAGAGAAUUCCGAGUUCCCCAGCUACGCUCCCCAGCAGGGGCACCAUCAGACAGGACCACCGGAGAUGUGGAAGCAGGCCAGAGCCCCCCUCCCCGCCGCAUCAUUUUGGUGAAAGAGGAAAAGGGUGAGAUGAGAGAACUUAAACAGAAUGAGAAUGGCUACGUGUGGAAGUAGUAGCCUACUGGUCAACAUGCCCGUGUCCCACACUGGAGAAUCUGCGUUCAGUUCCUGGCCAAGGCUCCUGCCGUCAGCUUCCUACGAGUGCAGAUCCUGGGAGGCAGCGGUGAUAACACAAGCAACGGGAUUCCUGCAUCCACGUGGGAGCCCUGACGGGAACUUCCUGGGAUCCCUCCUUCCAAGGAAGAGGUCGAACACCUUGGUUUCCAAACAAUCUUUCAGUGCUGGUUUUCUUGAGUACCAUGUUUUUUUUUGUUUUGUUUUUGUUUUUUUUUUUUUUUUUGGUUCUGGGACUUCUCUGCCAUUGAUACUUCUAGAAGAUAGAUGUUAAUAACAUUAGUAAUCACAACAGUCAGCAUUUGGAUGCCAAUCAUGAAUCAGAUAAGACAAAGCAUCUUUUAAGCUUUAAUUUGCUUGAUUCACACAACCAUCUUUAUGAGGCAGUUCUAUGACAUAUUAUCUGCUUUUUACACAUGAAAAGAUAGGCUCAUACAGGGUAUAUCACUUGGUCAAGGUCACAGGGCUGGUAUGUACUAAAGCUGGGUUUCAAGCCCAAGCAGUCUGGCUCCAGAGUCCAACAGGCAGGAGAAAGUAGCAGACAGGGCACAAUUCAAGUGCAGCUCUGUUCAGAAGGCUAUAUCCACUUUGUACACUGAAUUCUGCAGUUGCUGACAAAGUUCCAGGUCUGGGGACUCGGGAGGGAGACCCCAGUACUUCUCCCAAGGCAGAGGGAAUCAUUCCAGGCCCCUGUGGUGGAGAACAGAAGGGACUGGCGUGGAGUGCUCCUGUUAGGCUGGGCAGACAGCAGACGGAGGCUCAGCUGGCAUGCACCUGCUUGGUCCUGUGGGCCCUUCCCAGCUGUGACAGUUUUGAUUAGUCCCAUGCCUCUGGCGCACCAGUUGCCAAGUAUCUUUUGGACAGAGGGAAGGAUGGCUGCUUUGUAAGGAUUUAGAAGUUGGAUGAUCUCAUCAGAGGAGGUGAGAAGGAUCUCAGAAAAUAAUACAGAGCUCUCCGAGGUGGCCGGAUGGCCAGGCCAUGUGCUUGAUGGCUCUUCACAGGCCUGCACAGGCUCCAGGAUCUCAGAAAUACUCAGAAAUAUUGCUGGGUUGGCCCCUCUCAUUUGGAAAAAAAAAAAAAAAAAUCACUCCUGGCCGCCGGAAGUGUGCUGUAGUAGACACACCUCCACCUCACCGGAAGUUCUCCAAGAACCUCCCACCUUGAUAUUCUUUGGGGAAACAGCCCUCCCUCCUCUCCACUUGCCUUUUUGGUGGGACUGUCUUUCAGGGGCCCAUUCUCCCAGCCCCAGGAGUGGGAUCAGGGAGGCUGCUCACACGCCUGCUGAGAGUAUGAACCUUGAGUCAAAAGACACAAAGAUAGAAAAAGUACGGAUGAACAAGCAAGCCUAGGACUGGUAUCCUGCGAUGCAGCCAGUUAGCCCUUUUCCUUCAACUGCAUCCCAUAGCGUGAUAUUACUUUCAUUUCCUCAAGUUAUCUGGAGUCCAUGUCUGCAGCCUGUAACCAAAACACCAACAACAAGCCCUAACUCCCAGGGUUCACUCUCUAAGGCCAGUGCUUUACAAGCCUUUCGGCCCAAAGGACAGACCUGUCUCUCCUAGCCCGCCUCCCCCAACCCCAGGACCUGCGUCCUCUCUCUCGUGCUUCCUUCCGGAGCUUUCAGGGCUAGGGUGGGAAAGGGCUCUUGUCAAUGUGCGCGGCUUUACCUUGAGGGAUGAGUGAAGACACCCUUUAAAUUACCUAUAAAACCCUUUGAUUCCCUCAGCAGAGGUUGCCAUGGGCAAUUUGCUAAGCUUAUUGAUUAUUUUCUGUUUAAAUUAAAGUUUGAUGUCCUGGAACCGGCUGUGCGGCGCAUGGAGUUAAUGGAAAAGGUUGCGAUCCAGGGGGAGAGCCACUCAGUGGGGAAAUGGAGGGUAUUCAAGGGGAAAACAGGGAGUCUAGAAAGAGAAGAUUGUCAGCGCCAAGUUGUAGCAAACAUGAUGGUGAGAAGAAAAAAGAAGGGAAUUAUUUUAUGGAGAAGGGCAGUUUCCUGGGCAUUUAAGGCUUCAGGGAGGUAGUGGAAAAAAUGUAUUCACUCCACAAAUAUUUGCCGAGUUCUUGCCAUGUGUCUGGGAGAAAACAGGGACGCUGUGCGCCCAGUCAGGGAUUCUCAGAGUGUGGUUCCUGCUGUCGCUGCGUCCCCACCGCCUGAUGCAGGACCCCAGUUUCUGUUUACUGUAACAGAAUGCCCAAGGCCGGAGACUUUGCAAAGAAAAGAGGGGCUUUCAGCUCACAGCUCUGAGUCGCAAGGGCACGGUGCUGGCAUCAGCUAGGAGCUGGGGAGGGCCUCCUCCUGGUGGAUGGAUCCCAACGGUGGGAGUGCGUGCAGGCGGAAGUGAUCGCAGGUGGAAGCCUGCAGAGAGCAAUUCAGGGCUCGGGCUAGGCUUUUAUUACAACUGCAUUUAUGCAGAACUAACUCAGGGAUCCUACGAGAAAUAUCUUAAUCCCUCUGAGGCUGGUACCCUCAGUGAUCUCCCACUGGGCUCCACCUCUUAAAAGUCUCACCACCUCUACACCCCCACACCGAGGACCAAGUCUCCAGCACAUGGACCUUUUGCCAGGCGGGAGCGGGGGCAGGGGGCGGGGGGUGGGGGGCGUGGCAAACCGCAGCGCCCGGGAACAAGUCAGACACGCAUGCUCAGGCCUCACCCAGACACGCUGAAACGCUGAGGGCCCGUGGGGACAGCCCCUCCCAGGUGAAGCGGGUGCACCCUGCAAGGUGAGCUCCUCUGUUCUGGAUCCUUCUGAGGAAGGGACGUCCGGCUUCUGCACGCCAGGAGCUCCCUACGAGUCAGUCUUCUGUGGCCAGCAUCUGUUGAGAAUUUCUCACUGCAGGCCGUACGCUAAGCGCAGGGUGCAGAUGACCUCACUGUAUCCUUACAACAGCCCUGCACUUAGAAGACAGCAUGGGGGUGGGGGUGCACUGGAAGCAAGAAGGGCAGGGAGAAUUCAAGUGCAAGAGCCUCGCCACUCCGCUCAGCUGUCUCCCCAACACCAGCUCCCCCAAGCUCUGGGAUCCGCCCUGCCCUGGGCAAAGCUGAUCUGCUGUUAGAUUCAGAAGCCUGGUUUCCUCCGAGAGGAGCCCUACGCUGAGGUUGGGUUUUAGAUGUUUGGGGAAGUAGAAGAAGGACAGGAAGUAUGGGAUGGACUGAGAAAGAAGCAGAAGCCAUGCUGGCUGUGGGGGGCCAGACCAGCGGCCCCCGCCUGCACAGCCAUCCUCCUCCUGUGGGAGGCUCGGAGCCACAUCACUGCGGACUGAUCCGGUGUGGGGGAUUCGCAUCAAUUCAGUCCAGGGGGACUCCGUGUCGGGUCGUGUAGAAGUCAAGUCCUUUAACGCUUCCAUUUGCAGGGUGUUUUCCACCGCUACUGUCACAAAAUCAGGACGCCUUUCCUUGGACUGCUGUAAAAAUCACCCCAAA